rnacentral:lncRNA from 1 species
AGGUGGCAGACGUCUCCCUAUCUCCAGUGGAAUUGACCUCCUUACCCCCAGCAGAAGUGGCCUCCUCAACCCCAGUGACCAUGGCCUUCCCACUCUCAGGCUGCAAGCAUCAGGAGAGCAGAGACCAGAUUCAUCAUUGAAUCCUCAACAUCUAGCACAAUGUGCCUGGCAUAUGGCCUGUUGAUGCUUGGUGACAAGCUUCUCAAUCCCAGAAGCAUGAAGCCAGCAAGGCUGGGAAAGUCCCUUGGGUGAAGGCUCCAUCAGAAGAGAAUAAACUUUAUCAAAACGUGGUUAGCCCUAUCACAGCAGCAGCAUUUCAGAAGCAUCCUACAAAGUUGCUUGUUUCGUUGACAAACUCAAGAAACCCCACAUGUUUGGAGAGUUCUUGGUGAAGCCUGUUCAUUGGAAGUGGUCAUGCUUGUGUGUAGCUUAGAGAAGAAGAAAAUUCCAGUGGUUCCUCAGUCAAGUGGUGUAAUCCACUCCAGAAUCAUUGCCAUCUCUUCUUAUAUUCUGAACCAGGCAUAGAGAAAGUAGAAGCUCAGUGCACAGCUAAAUGAAAUUACCAGAGAUUCUCAAGGCCGCCAUUUCCAGCUUUUCACAAAACCACUGUGCUCACAUCAAGAGCAUCAAGGAAAGCUUCCUAUUCCGUGAGCUCCACUAGAAACGUCACGUAUUGUUCAUGGUUUUGAAAAGGUGAAAAGUUUCUUUUCCAGAAUAUUCUUCAUUGGAAUGAUAAUCUUGGUACCUUGUAAAUCAGUGGCAUUGUUUAUUUCAUCACAGCCAGAAUCUAGAAUUAUCACCAUUCUUUUGGGAUACAGUGAGAGCUUUUUUCCAGCCAGACACAGAAUGAGCAAUACAGGUAAGGUCCCUGUUGUCAUGGAGCUCAAGUUCUGUUAGAGACAGGAAAGAAAAAAACAAUCAGUAAAACAGGAUAACUUCAUAAUUCAAAGACGCCAUGCACAGCUGUGAGGCUAUGCACAGGCUCCAUUCAAACUAUAGACUAAGUGACUGCUACUGCCUGGAUUAAGCCCUGCCCUGCCGUGGCAUCCCCACACAAUUCAAAUAAUAAAAAGCGCUAUCAGGAAAAUAAAACGGGGUAGCCGAUGACAGUGUGGGAGUCAGUAUUGUAUAUUGCACAGGCAGGAGAAAGCCUGUCUGAGGAGGUAUCAUUUGACGUGAAAAAGGAAGAAGCUGUGCCAAGAUCAGGGGGAAAAGCAUUAAGAGGCAGAGAGAGUAGCAUAUGCAAAGGUGCUGAGGCAGUCUGUAUAACUGCACCAUGAAGAGGUCCCUGUCCGAAUCUCUGGAAGCUGUGAAUAUGUUACCUUACCUGGUAAAAUGGACUUUGCAAGUGUGAUUAUUAAGUUAAGGAUCUUGAGAUGGGAAGAUGAUCUCGGAUUAUCCAGGUGGGACAAAUGCAAUCACGAGGCUCCUUAUAAGAAGCAGGCAGGGGGCUCAGAGAGUGGGAGAAGAUGUGAUCGCAAAAGAAGAGGCUGGGCCGGGUGCGGUGGCUCACGCCUGGAAUCCCAGUGUUUUGGGAGGUUGAGGCAGGCAGAUCAUUUGAGGUCAGGAGUUUGAGACCAGCCUGGCCAACAUAGUGAAACCCCAUCUCUACUAAAAAUACACAAAAAUUAGCCUGGCAUGGUGGCGGGCACCUGUAGUUCCAAGCUACUAGGGAGGCUGAGGCAGGAGGAUCACUUGAACCCAGGAGGUGGAGGUUGUAGUUAGUUGAGAUUGUGCCACUGCACUCCAGCCUGGGUGACAGAAUGAGACUCUGAAAAAAAAAAAAA